UGGUAUCUUUUUGAAUAUCAUAUUCCAAUAUUAUUUCCCCGAAUACCUGGUCUACUAAACAUCGAUACUAUUUACAUGGGCAAUUGAACAGAAAAUACACAAACGAGAAUUACAGGAAAAAAAAUUGGGGCCCAAGAGUAAAUUUCUAGAGCGAGAAAGGCGCAGAGGAGAGAGAAGGAGCGGUUCAACGGCAGCAUUUCCCGGCUAAAUAAGGUAUUUUGCGUAAUGUCCACCCAAUUUCCUCUGAUCAGAUAACCAUAUGCUUUUUGUUUCUCUCUCUAGAUUUUGAUCCCUCCGUUUUCUCCCAUAUUCCCCCUCACAUUCAUCUCCUUGCACAAAAAGCUUUUUUUUUUUUCCAAAUUAGGGUUAGGGUUUGAGUUCGCUGAUUCUGUCGUUGUCACACCUUUUUGAAGAAGGGGAGGAAUGAUGGAGAAGCCGAAGACCGUGUAUCCUCUGUUUACGUAUGCGAUGCGCAUUUACGUGUAGGUUUUUGUGAUUGCACAUUGCAUCAGAUUCGAUUGUAGAGAGAGAGAGAGAGAAAGUUAGAGAGAGAAAGAUUAAGAGAGAGAAAAGAAGUGGGAGAAUUUUCAAUUUGGAAGAAUGAGCGCUUCAAGAUUCAUAAAGUGUGUUACAGUGGGCGAUGGCGCCGUUGGAAAGACGUGUCUUUUGAUCUCAUACACCAGCAAUACCUUCCCCACGGAUUACGUGCCUACUGUAUUUGAUAAUUUCAGUGCAAAUGUGGUUGUCAAUGGAAGCACUGUUAACUUAGGCCUGUGGGAUACUGCUGGACAGGAGGAUUAUAACAGAUUAAGACCUUUGAGUUAUCGUGGAGCUGAUGUUUUCAUUCUGGCAUUUUCUCUCAUCAGCAAGGCAAGCUAUGAAAAUGUUUCCAAGAAGUGGAUUCCAGAAUUGAAGCAUUAUGCCCCUGGUGUCCUAUAGUUCUUGUUGGCACAAAACUUGAUCUUCGAGAUGAUAAGCAGUUCUUCGUUGAUCAUCCUGGGGCUGUACCAAUCACUGCAGCGCAGGGGGAGGAACUCAGAAAAUUGAUCGGUGCUCCCGCUUAUAUUGAAUGUAGUUCAAAAACACAAGAGAAUGUCAAAGCAGUGUUUGAUGCUGCCAUUAAAGUUGUUCUUCAGCCACCUAAGCAAAAGAAAAAGAAGGGAAAGGCUCAAAAGGGCUGCUCGAUUUUGUAAUCAGCCAUUAGGUGUGAAGAUAUAUGCCCCCCCUGCCAAUCAUCGUUCAAGUACUCUCUUUCUUUUGCCUAAGAAAUAGGAACCCCACCCCCCCACCCCACCCCCCUCGUAUUCUUUACGUUCAAGGUAGUAGCGAGCGAUCUAUGUCAAAAAGGGUCGGUGGCUUGAAAUUCUAUGUAAUGCAUUUAAAUAUCUUCUAAUUUACCUAAGUCCGCACUACUUUAGGCCAAUUCGUUUGUGCCCGUCCUGUUUUAAUUCGUGUCUCUUUGUGUAUUCACCAGACAUAAAAAUUUUGUGAUGUCGGCUGAUAUUGAGUUACGUUUGUAUGCUUUCACAUUUACCAGAAUGGAUGCUCUAUUGCUAUUUAUAUUCGUGUUUGAAGUU